GCCGCGGUGGCGGAAUUGGCAGACGCACUAGCUUCAGGAGCUAGCGUUCGUAAGGACAUGGGAGUUCGAAUCUCCCCCGCGGCA
rnacentral:tRNA from 1 species